rnacentral:rRNA from 1 species
GACGAACGCUGGCGGCAGGCUUAACACAUGCAAGUCGAGCGCCCCGCAAGGGGAGCGGCAGACGGGUGAGUAACGCGUGGGAAUCUACCCGUCUCUACGGAAUAACGCAUGGAAACGUGUGCUAAUACCGUAUACGUCCUUCGGGAGAAAGAUUUAUCGGAGAUGGAUGAGCCCGCGUUGGAUUAGCUAGUUGGUGGGGUAAAGGCCUACCAAGGCGACGAUCCAUAGCUGGUCUGAGAGGAUGAUCAGCCACACUGGGACUGAGACACGGCCCAGACUCCUACGGGAGGCAGCAGUGGGGAAUAUUGGACAAUGGGCGCAAGCCUGAUCCAGCCAUGCCGCAUGAGUGAUGAAGGCCCUAGGGUUGUAAAGCUCUUUCACCGGUGAAGAUAAUGACGGUAACCGGAGAAGAAGACCCGGCUAACUUCGUGCCAGCCGCCGCCGUAAAAC